rnacentral:rRNA from 1 species
GUGCACAAAUUUACAAUUGCAAAAGGCAAGAACAAGCAUGUACAAAUAGAUAAAAAAAUUGUCAAUAAUAUAAACAACCAUGUACAAAUUGGCGAGCACAAUAGCAAAAGGAAAAAAAAACGCAGCUGCCACCUGGUCACCGCCACGCUCCUAUCUGGUGCCCCUCUUCCCAGCCUUACCCAUGCGGCCACCGGUGCCACCUGCGUCGGCUGCCUCCCCAUCUGCCGCCCGAGCGCUAGACGCCGCAGCUCCUCUUCCUAGGCGUAAGCCCUGCAUCCGCCCGCCCCUUUGCUAGCCCCGCUGCCGCGCGUAUUCCCGAACAUGAGCUCCAGAACAACCACGCCCUGGCUGCCGGCUGAGCGAUGGGCACUUGCGCGCAGAUGAGAGCGAGAGGCGUGAGCCGCUGUCGGAGCGGCUGAAGGAGAGGAAUGAAAGGCAGACGGCGCGGUUGAAGGAGACGAGCGGCCGUGCCGCGGAUGAAGGAGACGAGCGGCCGACGACGCGGAUUCAGGGAGGAGUGGCCGGCGGCGUGGAUCCAGGGAGGAGCUGUUGGCGGCGCGGAUCCAGGGAAGGAGCCAGGUUCAUGCGAGGGAAGGAGAAGCCAGAGGCUUCCUGCGAGAGAGAUGGGUGAGCGGUUCCGCAUGGUCCGCUCGAUUUGGAUGAACCGCGGGGAACGGC